rnacentral:lncRNA from 1 species
AGAAAAGCAGAACACAUGUUCUGCAGCUGAACUUCACAGAGAUGCUGGUUUAAUGAAACAGUGGUAGCCACCUCUUCUAUAACCCCGCAGUAGCAACAAAAUAGAGGCACCAAGGGGAGAAAAAGGUUUACUCACAGGAAGGUUGCAGACAAAUUAACGAAGUCCCAUAACUCACUGUCAGAACAGCAGAGGUGUCUUCAGAGAGGCUGAAGUCAAGAUACCAUACAGUUGUUAUACGUUAACCCGAAGAUUUUUAUUGAGGAGAAAAGACAACCCCAAAGCCAGAAGAACCCAGAGAGGGUAGAGGAAAUGUCUUCCUCCCCUACAUAUAGCACUGCACACAUACCAAAAACCACUGAAUUUUUCAGCUAAAUGGAUGAAUAUUAUGGAUAGAAAUCUAGACUGUCUAAGGGCAGAUCAGUGAGCUGCAUCUUGGUGAAUGAUCCCUGCAAACCACAAAGUUCUUCCUCUGCUGAGCCAAGUUCUGAGGCAGAAGAUUCAGCGUGCCUUCAGAAUUUCAGAGGCAACCAAGCUAAAAAUAUCAUCUCUCAGAAAUCCUUGCAGACACGGUUCCAGAUGUGACUGAGCUUGGGAGAGGACUCACUUACCUAGUGUUUGAGAAAGUUGCCGAUUGACACAUUGUAAUCAAGAUUCACUCAAGAGACUGCCCUAGUCUGAAGAGAACAAUCUUCCUGGAAGACACAUCAGGUUGCUGCACAAAAUUGGGGUUCUCUGCCCGAUGCACAUAAACAAGCCAAUUAAUUAUGGCACCCGCAUUUGAGGGGAGAAAUCAGCUUUUAUUCUAUGAGAUCUACCUGCAGGGAGACAGGGGGCAUGUGCCCUCAGAUCUGUCUCCCUGAUUUAGGAUUUGGGACAAAAUUUAAGAAGUUGGGGAGAACAAGUUGAUGCAUAGAAAUGCUGGUGGGACAGGUUUGGACUGGUGGGCUUCAGGCGUUCAUGGUAAAGUUUUAAAUACUUAUGAUGAGGUUCUAAAUGUUUAUAAUGGGGUUUUGACAUUUUUGCAUGAGGUAGGGAAA